rnacentral:misc_RNA from 1 species
AAAUGCGAUAAGUAAUGCGAAUUGCAGAAUUCAGUGAAUCAUCGAAUCUUUGAACGCACAUUGCGCCCGCUAGUAUUCUGGCGGGCAUGCCUGUCUGAGCGUCAUUUCAACCCUCAUUCCCGGCUUCGUGUCGGUGAUGGUGUUGGGGAUCGGCCUCCCGGUUGCGGGCGGCCGGCCCCGAAAUAGAGUGGCGACCACGCCGUAGCCUCCUCUGCGUAGUAGUGAAAACCUCGCAGGCGGAGAGCGGUGCGGCCUGCCGUAAAACCCCCAACUCUUCUAAGGUUGACCUCAGAUCAGGUAGGAAUACCCGCUGAACUUAAGC